rnacentral:rRNA from 1 species
UACAGAGGUCUCAAGCGUUGUUCGGAUUCAUUGGGCGUAAAGGGUGCGUAGGUGGCGCGCUAAGUCAGGUGUGAAAUUUCGGAGCUUAACUCCGAAACUGCAUUCGAUACUGCGGUGCUUGAGGACUGGAGAGGAGACUGGAAUUCAUGGUGUAGCAGUGAAAUGCGUAGAGAUCAUGAGGAAGACCAGUGGCGAAGGCGGGUCUCUGGACAGUUCCUGACACUGAGACGCGAAAGCGUGGGGAGCAAACAGG